AUGGCUUUUAGGUUUAAUGCCUGGGAUGAAAGAGGCCAGGCAGUCAGCACCAUCUUAUGGCAAAUUAAGAAAAAAAACUUCCCAAGGUUCCAUCAGGUGCUAAAAAGAAGAGAACUGCCCAUCUCCAUGAUGAAGGCUGUGUGAAAAUGAAGCUAAAUCUCAUCUAGGUGUGGAAGGGAACCUCAUUUACCUGUUAGCUUCUGUCUCCCUCCUUCCUUCCCUCCCUUUCUCCCUCUGCUCCCCUCUCCCCUCCCCUCUUCUCCUUUCCUCUCCUCUUCUCUCUCCUCUGCUCUCCUCUCCUCUCCCCCCUUCAUCCCUCCUUCCCUCCCUUCUCUCCUCUCCUGAUUCCUCCCACCUUUCACACCCCCUCAAAGAAGUUAGGAAGCUGGAUGAGGUUCCAAUCGGUUUUAUAAAAUGAGAAUGCAGCCAGUGAUUUGUUCUUGCCUGGCCCUGGGGCUCAGAGCCCAAGGUAUCAGAUUCUGUCUCAUUGCUUCCCUGAGGCCAACUUUAGCUCUAUUCUGGGAAGCACAGAACUCAGUCAAGGCUUUAGGACUGGAGCUGCAGCCCAUGUGUGGAAGAUCUCUUAGCCCGUGGUCUUAAUCUAGUCUUUCCUGAGCUCCCCUCCAUGUGGUGCCUGGACUUACUGAAUCCGUCCAUACCGAGCUUUUGUGAUGAGCACAGUAAGCCCAUGGAGAAGCCCCUGAACAUGCUUCUAUGCCAAUCUCCCAACAGUGACCAAAAGUAACCAGGAGGCAGUUGGGAGACUGGAAGAGAAGAUGGCUGGCCAUGGAGUGAAAGGAAGAGAAAAGAACUCCACUGACCUCCAGGACAGACUCUUCCCAGAGAUCCAUCUUUUAUACUAUAAUUGAAAAGAAGAAGAAAAGGGGUCAGCAAAGCUAACAUCAACAAUGCCUGCUGUAAUAUACAGUGCUCCACCUUUGGAAAGAAGUUGGGGGGUGGGUCUUCUCAUAUCUCUUCUUGGAGUCCAAGUUUGGUCAUUAUCAUUUUUGCAGUAUUCAUUUUCAUUGUUUUGCUGUGGUGGUGGGCCUUCUUUCUGCUUACUUUGUUGCAAUCAUUCUGUAUAUUGUGUUCCUGGUUCUACUCACUUCACUUUCCAUCAGUUCAUACAAAUCUUUCCAUACUUCUCUGUUCCCCACAUUUGUCUUUCUAAUACUCUUUCACACUAGGGUGCUACAAUUUUCUUAGCCAUCCCCUAAUCGACAGGUAUUUACUUUAUGCCCACUUCUUUGCUACCACAAAAAGUGCUGCUAAAAAUAUUUUGGGUUCUCUUUGUUUAUGAAUUCUUUGAAAUACAUGCUCAGCAGAGGAAUCUCUGGGUCAAAAGGAUAUGGGAAGAGGAAGCUAAUUGGCACAGUGGAUUGAGAGCCAGACCGAGAGACGGGAGGUCCUGUAUUCAAAUCUGGCCUUAGAUAUUUCCUAGCUGUGAGACUCUAGGCAAGUCACUUAACCCUCAUUGCCUAGCCCUUAUUACUCUUCUGCCUUGGAACCAACACACAGUAUUGAUUCUAAGACAAAAGGUAAGGAUUUUUUUAAAAGAAUAUGGUACAUAGUAGGUGCUUAAUAAAUGCUUAUUCCUUUUUCUAUCCUCCCUACCCCUUUCCCACAUAGGUGAGUUUCAUCAACUGAGCUUUGUUUAUCUGUUGUUUCCAGUUCUUCAUGACCCCUUGAAGGGUUUUUUUGGCAAAGAUGAGGAAUUAUUUGCCAUUUCCUUCUCCAGCUCAUUUUACAGAUGAGGAAACUGAGGCCAACAGUGUUAAGUGACUUGCCCAGGAUCACAUAGCUAGUAAGUGCCUGAGACCAGAAUUGACCUCCAGAAGAGAAGUCUUGGUGUUUUCAGGUGAGGUACUCUAUCCACUAUGCCACCUAGCUGCUCACAAACAUUUCAGUCACUUUAUUUGCCAUCAUUCCAAAUUGCUUCCCAGAAUGGUUUCUUCCCAAUUCAGAGCACCACCCAUAAGGCAUUAAUGGCCUCUUUUCCCCAGUCCUUGGACGCUGACUUCCCAUCUUUUGUAUCUCUGCCAAUUUUCUAGAUUCGAGAUGAAACCUCAGAGUUGUUUUGAUGUCCAUUUCUCUUAUUUACUUGUGAUCUGGAACAUUCUUUCCUAUGCCCAGCCUGUCCCUUUCUAGAAGAGAAUCCUGCAAUUUAUGAAGGGUGAGGAGUGACUUGUCUAAGGUCACGCGGGUCAGACGCAGCAGGGAUGAGACCUGAAGCUUGUCUCCUAAUUCUAAGAAGGGUUCUUUUUCCUAAUAGGGCAUUUUACUAAGCCAGAAGGGAUAGUCCCUGACCUUUGAAGUGGAGAAAUUAAAAUGCACACAUGUGAAUUUCUUUAAAAGCUAAAGGGUUUAAUAAUUGUUGGAGCCAGCAUUAAGAGAGCUGUCAGCGGGAAGUCAAUGGCCAAUUGCAGGGCAGCAAUAGAAUGGCGAAGGUUUGGAGAUGCCCAGAUGGCUUGCCACGCACGUGUGGUAGGUAAGUUAACUUCCCAUCACUUUACAAGGGAGAGCAGACAGCCUUAUAGACUUAAUUAGUGACUUUCCCCCAGAACCCCUGAGUGUCAGAUCCCCUGCCAGCUACCACCAUAAUCUCAUUAGUCUGACUGCUGAAGAGGGCCAAAGAGCUGAUCCCUGGAGCAGAUUAUGUGAACCGCUUCAUAACUGCUGCAAAGUACCACUGAGCAUCUUGGAAGGCUGGGGAAGGGCAGCUUAGUCCUUGGCAGGUUCAGGAGAGAAUUUGAAAACCUAAUCAGAAAGUGUGUGAGGAAGAGUCCCUCCUCUCUCCAAUUUAGCCUCUGUACCUAUACGUCUGUUCAUGUUACUCACCUGCUCAAGAAUCCCCAGUGGCUCCCUAAUUUAUUUUCUUUAUUCUUUAUUCCUCUAAGAAUAAAGAAAUCUGCUGCCGAGCAUUUAA